CCAGGGGCGACUAUACUGCAGUCGAGCGGACAGAUGGGAGCUUGCUCCCUGAUGUUAGCGGCGGACGGGUGAGUAACACGUGGGUAACCUGCCUGUAAGACUGGGAUAACUCCGGGAAACCGGGGCUAAUACCGGAUGGUUGUUUGAACCGCAUGGUUCAGACAUAAAAGGUGGCUUCGGCUACCACUUACAGAUGGACCCGCGGCGCAUUAGCUAGUUGGUGAGGUAACGGCUCACCAAGGCGACGAUGCGUAGCCGACCUGAGAGGGUGAUCGGCCACACUGGGACUGAGACACGGCCCAGACUCCUACGGGAGGCAGCAGUAGGGAAUCUUCCGCAAUGGACGAAAGUCUGACGGAGCAACGCCGCGUGAGUGAUGAAGGUUUUCGGAUCGUAAAGCUCUGUUGUUAGGGAAGAACAAGUGCCGUUCAAAUAGGGCGGCACCUUGACGGUACCUAACCAGAAAGCCACGGCUAACUACGUGCCAGCAGCCGCGGUAAUACGUAGGUGGCAAGCGUUGUCCGGAAUUAUUGGGCGUAAAGGGCUCGCAGGCGGUUUCUUAAGUCUGAUGUGAAAGCCCCCGGCUCAACCGGGGAGGGUCAUUGGAAACUGGGGAACUUGAGUGCAGAAGAGGAGAGUGGAAUUCCACGUGUAGCGGUGAAAUGCGUAGAGAUGUGGAGGAACACCAGUGGCGAAGGCGACUCUCUGGUCUGUAACUGACGCUGAGGAGCGAAAGCGUGGGGAGCGAACAGGGAUUAGAUACCCUGGUAGUCCACGCCGUAACGAUGAGUGCUAAGUGUUAGGGGGUUUUCCGCCCCUUUAGUGCUGCAGCUAACGGCAUUUAGCACUCCCGCCUUGGGGGAGUACGUUCGCAGGACUGGAAACUCAAAGGAAUUGGAACGGGGGUCCCGCACAAGCGUUGGAAGCAUGUGAUAUCAAGUUCGGAGC
rnacentral:rRNA from 1 species